rnacentral:rRNA from 1 species
GGGCCCGCACAAGCAGCGGAGCAUGUGGUUUAAUUCGAAGCAACGCGAAGAACCUUACCAGGUCUUGACAUCCAGUUAAAGCCGUAGAGAUACGGUGUGCCCUUCGGGGCGAACUGAGACAGGUGGUGCAUGGUUGUCGUCAGCUCGUGUCGUGAGAUGUUGGGUUAAGUCCCGCAACGAGCGCAACCCUUAUUUUUAGUUACUAACGGGUAAAGCCGAGGACUCUAAAGAGACUGCCGGGGACAACUCGGAGGAAGGUGGGGACGACGUCAAAUCAUCAUGCCCCUUAUGACCUGGGCUACACACGUGCUACAAUGGCCACUACAGAGAGGAGCGAGCCCGAGAGGGGGAGCGGAUCUGAUAAAAGUGGUCCCAGUUCAGAUUGUGGGCUGCAACCCGCCCACAUGAAGUCGGAGUUGCUAGUAAUCGCGGAUCAGCAUGCCGCGGUGAAUACGUUCCCGGGCCUU